rnacentral:tRNA from 45 species
CGGGCUGUAGCGCAGCUUGGUAGCGCACCUGACUGGGGGUCAGGGGGUCGCAGGUUCAAAUCCUGUCAGCCCGACCG